rnacentral:rRNA from 1 species
CAGUAGCCACGGUAAUACGUAGGCGGCAAGCGUUGUCCGGAAUUAUUGGGCGUAAAGGGCUCGCAGGCGGUUUCUUAAGUCUGAUGUGAAAGCCCCCGGCUCAACCGGGGAGGGUCACUGGAAACUGGGAAACUUGAGUGCAGAAGAGGAGAGUGGAAUUCCACGUGUAGCGGUGAAAUGCGUAGAGAUGUGGAGGAACACCAGUGGCGAAGGCGACUCUCUGGUCUGUAACUGACGCUGAGGAGCGAAAGCGUGGGGAGCGAACAGGAUUAGAUACCCCCGUAGUCCCUGUCUCUUAUAC